GGCGUAUGGGGCAACACAGAAGAUGCUGGAGGAACUCAGUGAGUUCCUCCAGUGGCUUGUGUGUGCUCCAAAUUCAUCAUCUGCAGUCCCUAGUGUCUCCAAGGCUGCAUACGGCAUGCUUGCCUUCAUAGGCCAGGGCAUAGAACAUAGGAGUUGGGAUGUUAUGUUGCAAUAUUACAAGACAUUGGUUAGGCCACACUUGGAGUAUUGUGUGUGAUUCUGGUCCCACACUGUGACUGCAGAAAGUGCAGAGGAGAUUCACCAGGAUGCUGCCUGGAUUGGAGAACUUUAGUUCUGGCGAGAGAUUGGAUAGGCUGCGUUUAUUCUCACUGGAAUGCAGGAGGCCAAGGGGUGAGCUUAUAGAGAUUUACGAAAUGAUGAGAUAGGAUAGAUAGAGUCUUUUCCCAAGGGUGGGGGCAGUCUAAAACUAGAGGUUUAAAGUGAGAGGGGAGAAAUUUAAAGGAUAUCUGAGAGGUAAGUUUCUCACACAGAGGGUGGUGGUUACCUGGAACGUGGUGUAAGAGGGGGUGACAGAGGCAGAUAGAAUCAUAAUGUUUAUUCAAACAGAGCAUCAAACAAUCUGCUGGAUGAACUCAGCGGGUCGAACAGCAUCUGUGGGGGGAAGGGAAUCAUUGACGUUUCGGGUUGAAACCCUGCAUCAGGGCCUGGACGGAUAGGAAAGGCGUAGAGGGAUACAGGUUUAAUGCAGGCAAAUGAGAUUAGACAAAAAGGUGAGAAUGGACGUAGGGACCGAAGGGCCUGUUUUUGUGCUGUAUGACUUCAUAAUUUCUGCUUGUCAACAUGAGGUGGUGGCUGUGUGUGCAGGCUCUUGCCCUGUGGACGUCCAGGCAAGUGACAAGAGAAAACAAAAUGGAGCACCUCAGUAGUAAUAAAGGAACCCAUUCAAUCCAGUUAGAGAUAAAAUAGUGACAGUUGUACGUUACAGAUAAUGAGGAAGUCUCUUGAAACAAUGUGGCAAUCUCCUCUGGUUUCUCUUCCUUCUUCACCUCCCACAUACACUGGAUCAGCAGGCACAGUCAAUGCUGCCUGACCCGCUGAGUUCCUCCAGCCCUUCGUUUUUUGCGGCAGGUUCCAGCAUCUUCAGUUUCUCAUGUCUCUACCAUAUGCGUUUCCCCUGGGUGCCCUGGUUUCCUCCCCAAGAUUUGCAGAACUUGGAUCCUAGGCUGAAGAUGAUUGGCAAAAGAACCAGAAGUGACGCAGGAAGAGAAUUCUUUACGCAUUGAGUGGUUGGAGUCUGGAAUGCAUUGCCUGGGCCAUCCCCAGGAAACUUAUAGACUUCAGUCCUGAAGAAGGGUCCUGACCUGAAACGUUGACCGCUUGCUUUUCUCCAGCAUCAUAGUGUUCCCCUCCUCUCCCGCACCUGCCUAUCACUAUCUCUUACCUGCAUCUACCUAUCGCCACCCUGUGCCCAUCCUGCCUCCCCUCUUUUGUCCACCUGUCACUGCUCUGCUUUUCCCUCCUAUAUAUUGGCCUUCCCCUUUUCCUACCUUCAGUCCUGUAGAAGGGUCCUGACCCGAAACAUUGACCUCCUGCUUUUCUCCAUGGAUGCUGCCUGGCCUGCUGAGUUCCUCCAGCAUCAUCAUGUUUUUCAACCUAUAGAUGCCCUAACAUACAAACAAGCUCCCAUAUUAUUAAAUUCAAAACUCCAACGUGCAUUCCUAUGAAUGGCAGAACUGGUUUGCUCUCUCUCCACUUUUAGUAAUUGUUCUUUCUUAUCAGUCAUGUGCUUUUAAUGCCAUUCAUUACAACACUGUGGAGGUAUGGUUACCAUAACGAACUGCCAGAUGACGUGGUAGAGGUGGGUAGAAUUACAAUAUUCAAAAUACACUUGGACAGGUACAUGGAUAGGAAAGGUUUAGAGGGAUAUGGGCCAAAUGUGGGCAAAUGGUACUAGCUUGGGUGGGAAUCUUGGUCAGCAUGGAGGGUUUGGGUGGAAGGGCCUGUUUCCGUGGCGUAUGACUUUAUGACUGUCUGUUUCCUAGCUUAUGACAAAAUUGACAAGAACGGAACCCAUUACCUGGGGACAGCUCCAUUGAACAGCAUGGCACUCUCCACACAGAGGAGUAUACCAGACUCUCUCUUCACCUUUCACUGCCUCAGUAAAGCAGCUAGCAUAAUCAAAGAGCCCACCCACACCAGACAUUCUCUCCUCUGCCCCCUCCCAUUGGGCAGAAGGUACAAAAGCCUGAAAGCACGUACCACCAGGCUCAAGGACAGUUUCUAUCCCACUGUUAGAGGAUUCUUGAACAGACCUCUCAUACAAUAAAGAUGAACUCUUGAUCUCACAGCCUACCUCCUCAUGGCCCUUGCACCUUAUUGUCUGCCUGCACUGCACUUUCUCUGUAACUGUAACACUUUAUUCUGCAUUCUGUCAUUGCUUUUCCCUUGUACUAUCUUCAUCUAAUGUGAUGAAAUGAUCUGUAUGGAUGGCAUGCAAAACAAAAUUUCCCCACUGUACCUUGGUACGCGUGACAAUAAUAAACCACUGACCCAAUUAAGAAUCAGGAUGUCCCACACUCAAAGGCUUUUUCAAUGGGCUUGAAGUAUUAGUGCAUGUUACAUUGUUCAAUGGAGUAUUGUUGCACAAGUGUCAAUACAAAGAAUUACUUGUCGAUUUCCAAAGCAACUCUCUUAAGUGGCCUCCUGCAGUGAAACUGGCAGCCAGUAUUCUUAAGAGUCAGUGUUAUCUGAUUACUGCAGGGAGGUUACUUGUAAAUGGUUUUUUCAAGACUGGUUCUCAUUUGAAUUUAAUAAUAUUUAUGGGAGCUUGCUUGUAUGUACAGGGUGUCCAUAAGUUGGGUGUUUGUAACUUAGGAGGGCCUGUAGUCUCAGUAGCACA